rnacentral:rRNA from 1 species
AAUAUUGGACUAUGGGGUUAACGCUGAUCCAGCCUUGCCGCGUGUGUGAAGUAGGUCUUCGGCUUGUCAAGCACUUUAAGUUGGGAGGCAGAGUUGUAGGCUAAUCCCUUGCCAUUUUGACGUUACCGACAGAAUAAGCGCCGGCGAACUUCGUUCCAGCAGCCGCGGUAAUACGAAAGGUGCAAGCGUUAAUCGGAAGUCCUGGGCUUAAAGCGCGCGUAGGUGGUUCGUUAAGUUGGAAGUGAAAGCCCCGGGCUUAACCUGGGAAUUGCUUUAAAAACUGACGAGCUAGAGUACGGUAGAGGGUAGUGGAAUUUCCUGUGUAGCGGUGAAAUGCGUAGAUAUAGGAAGGAACAUCAGUGGCGAAGGCGACUACCUGGACUGAUACUGACACAGAGGUGCGAAAGCGUGGGGAGCAAACAGG